AUCGGGUCAGACCCGAGGCGCACUGCUCAGUAACACGUGGAGAAUCUGCCCUUAGGUGAGGAAUAACCUCGGGAAACUGAGAAUAAUACCUCAUAGGUUAUGGAUGCUGGAAUGCUUCAUAGCUAAAAGCCCCGGCGCCUAAGGAUGACUCUGCGGACUAUCAGGUAGUAGUCAGGGUAACGACCUGACUAGCCUACGACGGAUACGGGGUGUGAGAGCACUAGCCCGGAGAUGGAUUCUGAUACACGAAUCCAGGCCCUACGGGGUGCAGCAGGCGCGAAACUUCCGCAAUGCUCGCCAGAGUGACGGAGGGAUUCCAAGUGCCUAUGCAAUGCGUAGGCUGUUUUCAUGUCUAAAUAACAUGAAGAGUAAGAGCUGGGUAAGACGGGUGCCAGCCGCCGCGGUAAUACCUGCAGCUCGAGUGGUAACCGCUUUUAUUGGGCCUAAAGCGUCCGUAGCCGGUUUGGUAAAUAUCUGGGUAAAUCGUGAGGCUUAACUUCACGAAUUUCGGAUAGACUG
rnacentral:rRNA from 1 species